rnacentral:lncRNA from 1 species
GGUUUGAGCGCUGAGGAGACUGCUGUUGGAGCGCUCCGAGCCCGGCCGGAACCAUGCCCCGCAAGAUUGAGGAGAUCAAGGACUUCCUGCUCACAGCCAGGAGGAAGGACGCCAAGUAGGUGGUGAUGGCUGAAGCUCUGACACUGCCUCAGCUCAGCACUUAACCGCGUGUGACGAGGUUUCCCUCUUCUCUCGCCUGUUUGGAUCCGACUGGCACACGGAAGAGUCACCUUCAUGCUUAAAUCCUUUUGUUAACCCACCAACGUGGCUGAGAGGAGAGUUCCACACUGAAACGCUGAGGGAGCUGCUGGCAGCCCCUCACAGAGCGUUCCUGUGCUGUUCCACUUGGAUUUCCCAGCGGCUCCAGCCGAGUGGCUCGGAUAAACUGGCUUUUGGGGAGCUCUGUGCGUGGAGCUGGGGAGCUGCAGUGUGGAAACGGGCAAUGGAGUCAGGGUUUCAUGUUGGUGGUUGUAAAACCAGCCUCAAAAUGAAGCCGUCGGCGCCGAGGAGGCUGGGGCUGAGCCCUUGGCUGUUCACCUCCUUGUUGGUGCAGCAAAACCCACUUAAUUUGGGGGUUUCACAGUGCAGGGGGCCAGGGGGAGCUGGGCUGGGGUGGCUCCGUCCUGCUGAGCUCUUCUGACCCUGCAGCCGUCAAGAUCAAGAAGAACAAGGACAACGUGAAGUUCAAGGUGCGCUGCAGCCGGUAUCUCUACACCCUGGUCAUCACCGACAAGGAGAAGGCCGAGAAGCUGAAGCAGUCGCUGCCGCCAGGUUUGGCCGUUAAGGAGCUGAAAUGAGCCGAGAAAUGGGACGUUUCAGUGUUUGUUACAAUAAAUAAACCCGACUGUUCCGC